UGGACUACUGGGGAGCCCCAGCUUCAUCUACUAUCCCUGCAAUCCGUGGGAAGGUUCCAGCUACUCCAGUAGCUGGAGGAAUUGUUACUACUGGAUCUCGGGAUACUGUUCAAUCACAGAUUUGGUUACAGGAUGAAAGAGAGCUGAAGAGACAGAGGAGAAAACAGUCAAACAGAGAAUCAGCUCGCCGUUCUAGAUUGCGCAAACAGGCUGAAUGUGAUGAGCUGGCCCAGCGUGCUGAAGCCCUAAAAGAAGAAAAUUCCAAUCUGAGAUCAGAAGUAAACCGGAUCAAGGGCGAGUAUGAGCAACUUCUUGCAGAAAAUGCAUCUCUCAAGGAGAGGCUUGGGGAAUUUCCUGGGCACGAAGAAUUUAGGGCUGGCAGGAAUGACCAACAUUUGGGCAAUGAUACACAAAAGACUGGACAAACAGACCAUGCGUAGUGUGGUCACUCCCCGUUUAAAAAAGCCGCUUUUCAGGAGCUUACCCUAACCAAUUAGUAACAGGAGUCAUUUUGCAUAGCAUGUAGUUUACAUUUAUCGAAGCUGACCUUUACAAUUUUAGGAUUUGUUCCUCUCAUAUCUUCCUAAAUUUCAUAUUGGGUCCACUUUCAACAAUCGGAGAACUAGGAUGGUAUGUAAGUGAAAUUUGUGUCAUACCCCGUUUCAAGAGGGUUGUAUUUACGCUGAUAACUUUUUGUUCCCUUUUUAUUUUACUUUGUUAUCCUUGUAAUUUUCUUUUCAAUUUUGGCUGAUCUAACCACAUCGUGAUUAUGAGAGCCUUAAUAAGAUUUAUCAAG
rnacentral:misc_RNA from 1 species